rnacentral:tRNA from 1 species
GGGCCUAUAGCUCAGUCGGUCAGAGCGGAGGACUCAUAAUCCUUUGGUCGCAGGUUCGAGUCCUGCUGGGCCCACCA